UUCCGGUUGAUCCUGCCGGAGGCGACCGCUUUUGGAGUUCGAUUAAGCCAUGCGAGUCGAGAGCUUUCGGAGCUCGGCAUACUGCUCAGUAACACGUGGAUAACCUGCCCUAUUGUCUGGAAUAACCUCGGGAAACUGAGAACAAUGCCGGAUAGCCCACAAUGCCUGGAACGGUUUGUGGGUGAAUUUUGCAAUAGGAUGGGUCUGCGGCGUAUCAGGUCGUAGGGGGUGUAAUGGACCUCCUAGCCAUCGACGCGUACGGGUGUUGGGAGACAUAGCCCGGAGAUGGAUUCUGAGACACGAAUCCAGACCCUACGGGGUGCAGCAGGCGCGAAAACUUCACACUGCAGGAAACUGUGAUGAGGGAACUCCAAGUGCAUGCACUAUGUGCAUGCUUUUCAUAACUAUUAAUCGGUUUUGGAAUAAGGGCUGGGAAAGACCGGUGCCAGCCGCCGCGGUAAUACCGGCAGCUCAAGUGGUCGUCGCUUUUAUUGGGCCUAAAACGUCCGUAGCCUGUUUGGUAAAUCUGUGGGUAAAUCAACCAGCUUAACUGGUUGAAUUCUGCAGAGACUGCCAGACUAGGGACCGGGAGAGGUGUGGGGUACUCUAGGGGUAGGGGUAAAAUCCU
rnacentral:rRNA from 1 species